rnacentral:rRNA from 1 species
UCUGCUAUCACUCUUGGAUGGACCUGCGGUGCAUUAGCUAGUUGGUAAGGUAACGGCUUACCAAGGCAAUGAUGCAUAGCCGAGUUGAGAGACUGAUCGGCCACAUUGGGACUGAGACACGGCCCAAACUCCUACGGGAGGCAGCAGUAGGGAAUCUUCCACAAUGGACGAAAGUCUGAUGGAGCAACGCCGCGUGAGUGAAGAAGGGUUUCGGCUCGUAAAGCUCUGUUGGUAGUGAAGAGAGAUAGAGGUAGUAACUGGCCUUUAUUUGACGGUAAUUACUUAGAAAGUCACGGCUAACUACGUGCCAGCAGCCGCGGUAAUACGUAGGUGGCAAGCGUUGUCCGGAUUUAUUGGGCGUAAAGCGAGUGCAGGCGGUUCAAUAAGUCUGAUGUGAAAGCCUUCGGCUCAACCGGAGAAUUGCAUCAGAAACUGUUGAACUUGAGUGCAGAAGAGGAGAGUGGAACUCCAUGUGUAGCGGUGGAAUGCGUAGAUAUAUGGAAGAACACCAGUGGCGAAGGCGGCUCUCUGGUCUGCAACUGACGCUGAGGCUCGAAAGCAUGGGUAGCGAACAGGAUUAGAUACCCUGGUAGUCCAUGCCGUAAACGAUGAGUGCUAAGUGUUGGGAGGUUUCCGCCUCUCAGUGCUGCAGCUAACGCA